rnacentral:rRNA from 1 species
GCGUCAGUAAUGGACCAGUGAGCCGCCUUCGCCACUGGUGUUCCUCCGAAUAUCUACGAAUUUCACCUCUACACUCGGAAUUCCACUCACCUCUUCCAUACUCUAGACACCCAGUAUCAAAGGCAGUUCCGGGGUUGAGCCCCGGGAUUUCACCCCUGACUUAAAUGUCCGCCUACGUGCGCUUUACGCCCAGUAAUUCCGAACAACGCUAGCCCCCUUCGUAUUACCGCGGCUGCUGGCACGAAGUUAGCCGGGGCUUCUUCUCCGGUUACCGUCAUUAUCUUCACCGGUGAAAGAGCUUUACAACCCUAGGGCCUUCAUCACUCACGCGGCAUGGCUGGAUCAGGCUUGCGCCCAUUGUCCAAUAUUCCCCACUGCUGCCUCCCGUAGGAGUUUGGGCCG